rnacentral:lncRNA from 1 species
UUUCUCUUCAAAGCAUUGGUUUCUAAAAUAUAAUCUUAAAUUGGCAUUGGUAAUACAGAAGACAUAUUUAAAAAAUAACUGAAAGUGCCGGUAUCUCACCUGACUGCUAAGAGGUACUGAUUUUAUGAGAAAUAUCUGUAAUUCUGUGCCGAAAGGAGCUCCUUCAUUUCUCUUUGUAGAGGCCAAAAUGUAAAGAAGGACAGAGAAACUAUCAGCGGUUGUUAGCAGAGGCAGAGGAGGAACUGCGCCGGCUCCCAGAGUCAUCAAGGGCGACUACUGUAUUGAAGAUCUAAGUCUUAAAGUCAUAAAAAGCGACACAAUACAAUAAAAGAGUGUUGGGUUAAAACUGAAAAUGAAGAGAUUAUAAGAUUGGGAAGAAGAUGAAUGGAGAGGUGGUCACAUGGUGCUCUCAGUCUGCUGAUUUUCAGUGGGAGAUCUACCUGCUGAAGACUGGAAGAACAGACAUGACGUGAAAGUAGGAUCUUUCUUGUGAGGGGUCAUCCCAGCGCCGGCAGAACAAGCUGUCUUCCUGCUUCUUUCCUCUGUCUUGUCUUAGAAAUGUGCCACUGAGAAAUAAGAGUGUCUAUGAACUGCCCUUUCUUCUGGAGUAGAUAACCAAAGACCAAUUCUGACUAUGCUGGUGUGCAUUAUGGACUCACAAAUUAAAUAAAUUAUCUUUAAAAAUCCUUCCAAAAGACUUGAUCUUCUCAAGAGUUUAAUAAGUAGAGGUAACAGAAAAUGUCUCUAAGAAUAUCAAAAUUGCUUGACCCACUGAGAGUGAAAUUAG